AGAUCAGCUGUGUUAACGAUGACGUCAUCUUUUUGCAAGUAAGAUUGGGCAGUGUUGUCGCUGCCCCCCCCCCCUACUCCGCUCUCUCGUUGUUUCUCGUAAAUUGGCCAAACAAUUGUGAUACAAUCGUUCCCCCGACCCCCAGCGAAAGACAGAGAGUGAGCAGAACAGCAUGACACAAACUGCGACAGAAUAACCAAACUGCACUAAUAAAAAAACGCACGGAUGGUAUCAGAGUAGCCUUCCACGCGACGCGUGUCCACGCAGCGCAGACGUGACAUUGCAGUGGGACAUUGACGUAACCAGCAGGGCUCGGAAACGGUUGGGCAGACCACUGAAACCGUCCGGUUCGACUGCACAGAAGCCACCGACGCUAAUGGUGCACCUGCCACUUGAUGGAUACGCUGCACUAAACCACAGCGCAGCAACACGGACAACAGUAUCGCAAACGCGGAAAACAAACAAUGAGAAGUGGAGAAACGGCCGUCCUGUGAAUGGGGUGAAUUUUUAAAAUGCCGGAAAAACGGUUUCUGCAUCUCUGCGGUGACGGUCUCGGGUUCCGACGCCCCCCCCCCCGGAGUCUUCCUGCAGGCAACGCUGACCCAGCGAUGCAACCUCCCGGGCUGAUCCUGCAUCUGCGGCACCGAUUGGACGGUUCUGUCCCGUUAAUUAAGCAUGCUCACGGCAGGAAGUGACAUCACCCAUCCCGGAAGUGGAACAGGGAGUCAAGACUCCAUUCCAGCUCCGGUCGUAUUUGCUCAGAGGGAGCCAGUGAUUGGACGGGAAAUCCAAUCACCUGUUUCUGCAGGUGUCCGUCACCUCAAGGCUGAAACAACAACCUUUAAAACCCUCAGGGCGCCCUUAGCCUCCGAGUCCUGAUUGAAGUUUUUUUUAUUUGUCCCGACGGUGCUUAAGCUCUCUCCACAGCAAGUGCGUCCAGCUGUGAGAGGGGCCGCCUCCUCGCCCCGCCCCGGGCCAGCUCAGCGCCAGAAUUUAUUUCCACAAACACCGCAAACGGCACAGCCGGGGAUCUCAGGGAACCCCGGACCCAAGCGCCCCGGACCCCUCUCCCGUUUUUACAAGCCGACCGCGGGACCCCCCCCCCCCCCCGUCCCGUUCACAGACCCGACCGACCGCGACGAGAUCGGAGAAGGACCCGGAAACCCGACUGAGCUCCUCCCACGUGUUUUUUAAGAGGACGUGGUACACAGGAGAGAGGGGCCCUGCUGGAAUACAAGGCAGGGCUGGAACAGGUCUGCGCCGGUUCCCCUGGACCAGUGGGGGUUCUGUUCCACCCUGGACCUUUAGAUGGACCUUUAGCUUUUUCCCCUGCGUUUUCCACUGGGCUGGAAGUUGAUGUUUCCAGUGGAGAGAUGUGACAUCCUCUCUCUCUCUCUCUAUGUGAACUGUAGUAACCCCCCUGCACCC